rnacentral:rRNA from 1 species
UAAGCGACUAAGCGUACACGGUGGAUGCCCUGGCAGUCAGAGGCGAUGAAGGACGUGCUAAUCUGCGAUAAGCGUCGGUAAGGUGAUAUGAACCGUUAUAACCGGCGAUUUCCGAAUGGGGAAACCCAGUGUGUUUCGACACAUUAUCAUUAACUGAAUCCAUAGGUUAAUGAGGCGAACCGGGGGAACUGAAACAUCUAAGUACCCCGAGGAAAAGAAAUCAACCGAGAUUCCCCCAGUAGCGGCGAGCGAACGGGGAGCAGCCCAGAGCCUGAAUCAGUGUGUGUGUUAGUGGAAGCGUCUGGAAAGGCGCGCGAUACAGGGUGACAGCCCCGUACACAAAAAUGCACAUGCUGUGAGCUCGAUGAGUAGGGCGGGACACGUGGUAUCCUGUCUGAAUAUGGGGGGACCAUCCUCCAAGGCUAAAUACUCCUGACUGACCGAUAGUGAACCAGUACCGUGAGGGAAAGGAGAAAAGAACCCCGGCGAGGGGAGUGAAAAAGAACCUGAAACCGUGUACGUACAAGCAGUGGGAGCACGCUUAGGCGUGUGACUGCGUACCUUUUGUAUAAUGGGUCAGCGACUUAUAUUCUGUAGCAAGGUUAACCGAAUAGGGGAGCCGAAGGGAAACCGAGUCUUAACUGGGCGUUAAGUUGCAGGGUAUAGACCCGAAACCCGGUGAUCUAGCCAUGGGCAGGUUGAAGGUUGGGUAACACUAACUGGAGGACCGAACCGACUAAUGUUGAAAAAUUAGCGGAUGACUUGUGGCUGGGGGUGAAAGGCCAAUCAAACCGGGAGAUAGCUGGUUCUCCCCGAAAGCUAUUUAGGUAGCGCCUCGUGAACUCAUCUCCGGGGGUAGAGCACUGUUUCGGCAAGGGGGUCAUCCCGACUUACCAACCCGAUGCAAACUGCGAAUACCGGAGAAUGUUAUCACGGGAGACACACGGCGGGUGCUAACGUCCGUCGUGAAGAGGGAAACAACCCAGACCGCCAGCUAAGGUCCCAAAGUCAUGGUUAAGUGGGAAACGAUGUGGGAAGGCCCAGACAGCCAGGAUGUUGGCUUAGAAGCAGCCAUCAUUUAAAGAAAGCGUAAUAGCUCACUGGUCGAGUCGGCCUGCGCGGAAGAUGUAACGGGGCUAAACCAUGCACCGAAGCUGCGGCAGCGACGCUUAUGCGUUGUUGGGUAGGGGAGCGUUCUGUAAGCCUGCGAAGGUGUGCUGUGAGGCAUGCUGGAGGUAUCAGAAGUGCGAAUGCUGACAUAAGUAACGAUAAAGCGGGUGAAAAGCCCGCUCGCCGGAAGACCAAGGGUUCCUGUCCAACGUUAAUCGGGGCAGGGUGAGUCGACCCCUAAGGCGAGGCCGAAAGGCGUAGUCGAUGGGAAACAGGUUAAUAUUCCUGUACUUGGUGUUACUGCGAAGGGGGGACGGAGAAGGCUAUGUUGGCCGGGCGACGGUUGUCCCGGUUUAAGCGUGUAGGCUGGUUUUCCAGGCAAAUCCGGAAAAUCAAGGCUGAGGCGUGAUGACGAGGCACUACGGUGCUGAAGCAACAAAUGCCCUGCUUCCAGGAAAAGCCUCUAAGCAUCAGGUAACAUCAAAUCGUACCCCAAACCGACACAGGUGGUCAGGUAGAGAAUACCAAGGCGCUUGAGAGAACUCGGGUGAAGGAACUAGGCAAAAUGGUGCCGUAACUUCGGGAGAAGGCACGCUGAUAUGUAGGUGAAGUCCCUCGCGGAUGGAGCUGAAAUCAGUCGAAGAUACCAGCUGGCUGCAACUGUUUAUUAAAAACACAGCACUGUGCAAACACGAAAGUGGACGUAUACGGUGUGACGCCUGCCCGGUGCCGGAAGGUUAAUUGAUGGGGUUAGCGCAAGCGAAGCUCUUGAUCGAAGCCCCGGUAAACGGCGGCCGUAACUAUAACGGUCCUAAGGUAGCGAAAUUCCUUGUCGGGUAAGUUCCGACCUGCACGAAUGGCGUAAUGAUGGCCAGGCUGUCUCCACCCGAGACUCAGUGAAAUUGAACUCGCUGUGAAGAUGCAGUGUACCCGCGGCAAGACGGAAAGACCCCGUGAACCUUUACUAUAGCUUGACACUGAACAUUGAGCCUUGAUGUGUAGGAUCAGGUGGGAGGCUUGGAAGUGUGGACGCCAGUCUGCAUGGAGCCGACCUUGAAAUACCACCCUUUAAUGUUUGAUGUUCUAACGUUGACCCGUAAUCCGGGUUGCGGACAGUGUCUGGUGGGUAGUUUGACUGGGGCGGUCUCCUCCUAAAGAGUAACGGAGGAGCACGAAGGUUGGCUAAUCCUGGUCGGACAUCAGGAGGUUAGUGCAAUGGCAUAAGCCAGCUUGACUGCGAGCGUGACGGCGCGAGCAGGUGCGAAAGCAGGUCAUAGUGAUCCGGUGGUUCUGAAUGGAAGGGCCAUCGCUCAACGGAUAAAAGGUACUCCGGGGAUAACAGGCUGAUACCGCCCAAGAGUUCAUAUCGACGGCGGUGUUUGGCACCUCGAUGUCGGCUCAUCACAUCCUGGGGCUGAAGUAGGUCCCAAGGGUAUGGCUGUUCGCCAUUUAAAGUGGUACGCGAGCUGGGUUUAGAACGUCGUGAGACAGUUCGGUCCCUAUCUGCCGUGGGCGCUGGAGAACUGGGGGGGGCUGCUCCUAGUAGCGAGAGGACCGGAGUGGACGCAUCACUGGUGUUCGGGUUGUCAUGCCAAUGGCACUGCCCGGUAGCUAAAUGCGGAAGAGAUAAGUGCUGAAAGCAUCUAAGCACGAAACUUGCCCCGAGAUGAGUUCUCCCUGACUCCUUGAGAGUCCUGAAGGAACGUUGAAGACGACGACGUUGAUAGGCCGGGUGUGUAAGCGCAGCGAUGCGUUGAGCUAACCGGUACUAAUGAACCGUGAGGCUUAACCU